GCCAGACUCCUACGGGAGGCAGCAGUCGGGAAUAUUGCACAAUGGAGGAAACUCUGAUGCAGUGACGUCGCGUGCAGGAAGAAGGUUUUAGGAUUGUAAACUGCUUUAGACAGGGAAGAAAAAAGACAGUACCUGUAGAAUAAGCUCCGGCUAACUACGUGCCAGCAGCCGCGGUAAUACGUAGGGAGCGAGCGUUAUCCGGAAUUAUUGGGUGUAAAGGGUGCGUAGACGGGUAAAUAAGUUAGUUGUGAAAUCCCUCGGCGCAACUGAGGAACUGCAACUAAAACUGUAUAUCUUGAGUGCGGGAGAGGAAAGUGGAAUUCCUAGUGUAGCGGUGAAAUGCGUAGAUAUUAGGAGGAACACCAGUGGCGAAGGCGACUUUCUGGACCGUAACUGACGUUGAGGCACGAAAGUGUGGGGAGCAAACAGGAUUAGAUACCCCAGUAAGC
rnacentral:rRNA from 1 species